GACGAACGCUGGCGGCGUGCUUAACACAUGCAAGUCGAACGGUAAGGCCCUUCGGGGUACACGAGUGGCGAACGGGUGAGUAACACGUGGGUGAUCUGCCCUGCACUUCGGGAUAAGCCUGGGAAACUGGGUCUAAUACCGGAUAGGACCACUGCCUGCAUGGGUGGUGGUGGAAAGCUUUUGCGGUGUGGGAUGGGCCCGCGGCCUAUCAGCUUGUUGGUGGGGUGAUGGCCUACCAAGGCGACGACGGGUAGCCGGCCUGAGAGGGUGAUCGGCCACACGGGGACUGGGAUACGGCCCAGACUCCUACGGGAGGCAGCAGUGGGGAAUAUUGCACAAUGGGCGCAAGCCUGAUGCAGCGACGCCGCGUGAGGGAUGACGGCCUUCGGGUUGUAAACCUCUUUCAGCACCGACGAAGCGCAAGUGACGGUAGGUGCAGAAGAAGGACCGGCCAACUACGUGCCAGCAGCCGCAGUAA
rnacentral:rRNA from 1 species